rnacentral:tRNA from 1 species
GCCUCUGUAGCUCAGUUGGUUAGAGCGCUGCACGGAAUCGCAGGGUCGCAGGUUCAAUUCCUGCCAGGGACC